AAAAAGACAAACCCUGAUUUCCGUGCCCAACGUUUGACCGUUCGUCUUAUUUGAAAAAAAUAUAAAAAAAAUUUAAAAAGACAAGUCACGCAUAAAAUAUUAAUCAUAUUUUAUCAUCUAACAACAAUGAAAAUACGAAUUAUAAAAAAAUUUCAUAUAAGACGGACAGUUAAAGUUGGACACGGAAACCCAGGGUUUGCCUUUUU
rnacentral:pre_miRNA from 1 species